rnacentral:rRNA from 1 species
UACGUAGGAGGCAAGCGUUGUCCGGAAUCACUGGGCGUAAAGGGUGCGUAGGCGGGUCUUUAAGUCAGGGGUGAAAUCCUGGAGCUCAACUCCAGAACUGCCUUUGAUACUGAAGAUCUUGAGUUCGGGAGAGGUGAGUGGAACUGCGAGUGUAGAGGUGAAAUUCGUAGAUAUUCGCAAGAACACCAGUGGCGAAGGCGGCUCACUGGCCCGAUACUGACGCUGAUGCACGAAAGCGUGGGGAGCAAACAGG